rnacentral:rRNA from 1 species
UACAGAGGGGGCAAGCGUUGUUCGGAAUUACUGGGCGUAAAGGGCGCGUAGGCGGCCUUCUAAGUCGAACGUGAAAUCCCCGGGCUCAACCCGGGAACUGCGUCCGAUACUGGAAGGCUUGAAUCCGGGAGAGGGAUGUGGAAUUCCAGGUGUAGCGGUGAAAUGCGUAGAUAUCUGGAGGAACACCGGUGGCGAAGGCGACAUCCUGGACCGGUAUUGACGCUGAGGCGCGAAAGCCAGGGGAGCAAACGGA